rnacentral:rRNA from 1 species
UACGUAGGGGGCAAGCGUUGUCCGGAUUCACUGGGUGUAAAGGGCGCGCAGGCGGGUUAGCAAGUCAGAGGUGAAAUCCUACAGCUUAACUGUAGAACUGCCUUUGAAACUGUUAAUCUUGAGUGCGGAAGAGAGAGACGGAAUUCCAGGUGUAGCGGUGAAAUGCGUAGAGAUCUGGAAGAACACCAGUUGCGAAGGCGGUCUCUUGGUCCUUGACUGACGCUGAGGCGCGAAAGAGUGGGGAGCAAACAGG